rnacentral:rRNA from 1 species
ACCUACGGGAGGCAGCAGUGGGGAAUUUUCCGCAAUGGGCGCAAGCCUGACGGAGCAAUACCGCGUGAGGGAUGACGGCCUUUGGGUUGUAAACCUCUUUUAUCAAGGAGGAAGUUCUGACGUGUACUUGAUGAAUAAGCAUCGGCUAACUCCGUGCCAGCAGCCGCGGUAAGACGGAGGAUGCAAGUGUUAUCCGGAAUCACUGGGCGUAAAGCGUCUGUAGGUGGUUUAAAAAGUCUACUGUUAAAAAUUGAAGCUUAACUUCAAAGAUGCCGUAGAAACUUUUAAACUCGAGGAUGGUAGGGGUAGAGGGAAUUUCCAGUGGAGCGGUGAAAUGCGUAGAUCUUGGAAAGACCACCAAUGGCGAAGGCACUCUACUGGGCCAUUACUGACACUAAGAGACGAAAGCUAGGGGAGCAAAUGGGAUUAGAUACCCCGGUAGUCCC